UCGAUUUAUCAGGAUUUAUCAGAUUAUCUGGAGUUAGAGAGCUCUGAGAAUGCUGAGGGAGACCAGAAACACCCUCCACAACUGCUCUAAACACAGAGGCUGAAUACCAGCCAGCUGCCUUCCAGAUCAUCAGCUUCCAAGAUCUUCAUGGUGCUGGACUCCAAUCAAGUACACCAAUGGGUAUCUCAGCAACACAAACACUGAACACACAGCAGGAUCAAAGGCAUCUGCAUAGAAGUGUGCCUGCUAUGGGAGUUCCUGGCAUGAUGCAAGGAAUAAGGUGGAGGGGUUCAGAAAUUCUGUCUCCAGGCUGUGCAGCCCCUUCUCUUUCAUAGACAACUCUGUAAGGAGCUGGCAAGCCAGGUUGCUAGACAAGGACAGCAAAAGCAGUGAGCUCAUAACUUUUCACCAAGUAACAGGACAACACUGAUACCACUGACUCAUUCUGGAACUCAAUACUCAGUCUCUUGAGGACUUCUCUAACAAACUCUCUCAUAUGAAAUAUCAGUGGUACUUUGGCCAAGACAGUUGAUCUCCUGCUUGACAGGUUUGUGGAAAGGGCUGAUCAUGCAGACAAAGGACUACUCAAACAAGAGAAAGCAAGGAGAAAGCCAGAAUGAAGAUAAUCCAAGAACCUUUCACUCAUCCUCUAAAACAGUUCGCCAGAAAGAAAAAUGCUGCCUCGAUUAGAUUUCAGGCUUCUCUAUUAUGGCAAAUGGUGUAUGAGAGUCUUGUGACCAAAACCAAAACCAAAUCUGCAGUUUACCAAGUUUCAUUCAUGUAAGUCAUU